AUUGAACGCUGGCGGCAGGCCUAACACAUGCAAGUCGAGCGGAUGACGGGAGCUUGCUCCUGGAUUCAGCGGCGGACGGGUGAGUAAUGCCUAGGAAUCUGCCUGGUAGUGGGGGACAACGUUUCGAAAGGAACGCUAAUACCGCAUACGUCCUACGGGAGAAAGCAGGGGACCUUCGGGCCUUGCGCUAUCAGAUGAGCCUAGGUCGGAUUAGCUAGUUGGUGAGGUAAUGGCCCACCAAGGCGACGAUCCGUAACUGGUCUGAGAGGAUGAUCAGUCACACUGGAACUGAGACACGGUCCAGACUCCUACGGGAGGCAGCAGUGGGGAAUAUUGGACAAUGGGCGAAAGCCUGAUCCAGCCAUGCCGCGUGUGUGAAGAAGGUCUUCGGAUUGUAAGCACUUUAAGUUGGGAGGAAGGGUUGUAGAUUAAUACUCUGCAAUUUUGACGUUACCAACAGAAUAAGCACCGGCUAACUCUGUGCCAGCCGCCGCAGUAAUAC
rnacentral:rRNA from 1 species